rnacentral:rRNA from 1 species
UGGCGGACGGGUGAGUAAUGUCUGGGAAACUGCCUGAUGGAGGGGGAUAACUACUGGAAACGGUAGCUAAUACCGCAUAAUGUCGCAAGACCAAANAGGGGGACCUUCGGGCCUCUUGCCAUCGGAUGUGCCCAGAUGGGAUUAGCUUGUUGGUGGGGUAACGGCUCACCAAGGCGACGAUCCCUAGCUGGUCUGAGAGGAUGACCAGCCACACUGGAACUGAGACACGGUCCAAACUCCUACGGGAGGCAGCAUG